CCCCGUUAUCCCCGUUAUCCCGGAAUUCCGACAUUCCCAUUAUCCCGGUUUUUCCCGUUUUUUUUCCCAGCUCCAGCCCAUCCAGACGGCGCCGACGGCGCGCCGGGACCGCUCGCAGGACGCGGUGUACGGCGGCGUGACGGAGCUGGUGCGCGCCGUGCUGCAGCUCAAGGACGACAUCGCCCGCGCGCCGCCCGACGGACACGUCCUGGCCGUCAAGAACAUCGGGCUGUCCCUGCGGAAGCUGAUCGGCAGCGUGGACGCCGUCCUGCCCGAGCUGCCGCCCUCGUCCCGCACCGAGAUCGAGGGCACGCAGCGGGCGCUGAACAAGGAGCUGGCGGCGCUGAUCGCCAAGCUCCGCCUGGCGCAGCAGAACCGCGGCUCCUCGCUGGCGCCCGAGUGCCGCCGGCAGAUGCUCGCCGCCGCCCACGCCCUCGCCGUCGACGCCAAAAACCUCCUGGACGCCGUGGACCAGGCCCGGCCCCUCGGCACAGCCCCCCCCGAGUGACCGAGGGGAUGGAACGUUCCGGAAACGGGAGGAAAAUCGGAUUUUCCCGUGGUUUAUUUUCGCCCGCUUUUCUUCUUCCCGCUGCUCCUCGUCCUCCUCGUGUCUCGCCAAGCGUUGCGAUUUGGAAGAUGGGAGGGGUCUGGUGGGGUUUUGUUUGGAAGUCAUUGAAG
rnacentral:lncRNA from 1 species